UUAAACUUUCACUCCAUCGCCCCAACCUUGCCCUGAUUUUUCAUUUUAUUUGUUUUUAUUUUUAUAUUUUUACAUUUUAGAGAGAGAGACAGAGACUCACAGAGUAGCAGAGAGAAGGAAUCGUCUCAAUCAUAGAGACUAUCAGAGAAAAUAAUUUUUUUAUUUUAUUUUUUGUUGUUUUGGGUUUUGUUGGGUUUCCUUUUCCUUUGGCAUUCCAUGUGCAUGGAAGAAGCGAAACCCAGGAAGAGGAGGCCACUGGACCUUGACUGGGAGACCCUUUUGCCCAGCCAAGAGGACGACCCACCUGCUGUACUGAUCGUCAAGUCCAACAACAACCAAAACAUCAACACUCUCAAGGACUCUUCAAUGGCCGCCGCCGAUUCCCGAAAUUCAGAUUCCGAAUACUCUGAAUUGCGUGAUCAUGAACUUGACGAUAGAAUUGUGAGGCAGAAGAAGAACAUAGAGGGUAUGGGUCCCAGAUUGCCCGACAAGGGUGAAAAGCUUAGGCUUUCUCUCAAGCGAAUGGAGGAAGAAAGGGAACGGAGAAAACUCAGACGGGUUGAGACUGUAUACUUAGAGGAAGCUGAUAGAUAUGAGAAGCCCGUGCAACCUAUAUGUUCCUGCAUUCCUGGUGGGUGUGAUGGCUCCAAGAAAGAGCAUAUAACAUGUCAAUCCCAAUCACAGUCUUUAUUUGCUUCACGUUUUAGUCAGAAGAUAGAAGAAAAAACAGAUUCUGGGAAGACAAAUUCAUUUGACAAAGAGUUAUCAUUGUUGGGUUCUUGUGACCAUCGGCAAAUGAAAAACAAUGGAGAUGUUUCACAAAAGGGAAGACAAGAGAUUUCACAGAAGGGAAGACAAAAAUUUCGAUCGAUAGCAAAAGACAUGCCUUCUAAACACCCUGGCAAUAUGUCUCGGAAUGGAGCUAAUGGUGUUCACUCAUACAAUGAUCAGAAAGGAAGAGCUUUUUCUACUUAUUCUUCACAUGUUAGAGAAAACUCAUCUAAUUUCUUUGCCAAAAAGAAUGAUGCUUCUCAUAUAGGGAGUUCUAUUGUUUUGAGGCCCAGGAAGACCAUAGUUCUCAUAGAUGAGGAAGAACCUCAGAUUACAGAGGCAGCAGAACAAAUGGAGAAACUUCCUGAGUGCAUGAAAGAUGCUAAGAUCUACUACCCUUCAAGGGAUGACCCUGAAGCUGAAAUAAUUUCAUAUGCGGACAUGGACUGUCUUGCUCCUGAAGGCUACUUGACGUCAACUAUCAUGAAUUUUUACAUCAGAUAUCUACAGCAGCAUGCAUCUCCAACAAAUAGGGCAACAUGUGAUUGUCAUUUUUUCAAUACAUACUUUUACAAGAAGCUGAAAGAGGCCGUAUCGUACAAGGGUAACAACAAAGAUAAACUUUUUGUUAAGUUUAGAAGGUGGUGGAAGGGUGUAAAUAUAUUCCAGAAGGCAUACGUUCUUAUUCCAAUACAUGAAGAUGUUCAUUGGAGCCUGGUGAUUAUUUGUUUCCCAGACAAGGAAGAAGAAUCAGGACCUAUUAUACUCCAUUUAGACUCAUUAAGACUUCACUCUAGCAGAUCAGUUUUUCAAAACAUUAAGAGCUUCUUAAAAGAAGAAUGGCACUAUUUGGGUCAAGAAUUUGCUCUUCCAGAUCUCCCGAUUGCUGACAGUAUAUGGAGACAACUCCCUCAAAGAAUUACCGAGAAAAUUAUUUCGGUGCCCCAACAGAAAAAUGAAUAUGACUGUGGUCUAUUUGUACUUUUCUUCAUGGAGCGCUUUAUUGUAGAGGCUCCUGAAAGGCUGAAAAAGAAAGACUUAGCAAUGUUUGGGAAACAGUGGUUUAAACCUGAAGAGGCCUCUGGUUUGAGAGCGAAAAUCCGAAAUGUACUCAUUAAAGAAUUUAAAAAAGCAAGCGAGGUUGAAUGUAUAUCAGAGACAUUGUCUCCUUCUUCAAGUGAUGCUCAGGAAGAAUGGAUUUAACUCUCACAGGAUUGGAUCUGGUAUGAAGUCCUUAAAGAGGUUUGCCAUCUAUGUAUAGUGGUCACAGUCGAUGCAUAUGCAUUGGCCAAUCAACCAUGUACUCCCUGCCUCCAUUCAUUCGGUGUACUUUGGCGAAUCAACCAUGUAUAAACUUUUUCAAGUUAAUUUGUAUAGCCUGGAAAGUUGAAUACAAAGUGCCAUUUGUGCAAGAGAGCAGGUGGCUAACGGUUUUUUAUUUUUCCUGGAUGGAGACAUUCAUUUUAACUGGUGACAAGUUUAGAGAAUUUUAAAAAUUCUUGUGUGGUUAAUGGAAGAUGCGGGUCGCAGCCUAAUAGCUUGAUUUGGCAACCAGCAUUGUUGGAAGCAUAUAACUGCAAUUAAAUUGAGUGUUACUUUUGCAGUAAUAAAUGGUAAUCUCUCUCUUUCUCAAGUAUGGUAAAUUUCUUUAGGUGUUUUUAUUUUUAUUUUAUUUAUUUAUUUAUUAUUAUUAUUAUAUUUUUUUCACUCCUUGUGCUUAAAUAACUCCUGUGCAGUGGAGAUGAUCAUCUUCUCCUUUGCUUUUUUAUAUUCAUGUUCAUAAUCUUAUAUCAAUAUUGGUUAAAUCUUGUCCUUGGACAAAGGUUAUAAUCGCUCAACA